GCUCGGAAUGACUGGGCGUAAAGGGCGCGUAGGCGGUUUGUACAGUCAGGUGUGAAAUUCCCGGGCUCAACCUGGGGGCUGCACUUGAUACGUAUGGACUGGAGUGGGGAAGAGGGUCGUGGAAUUCCCAGUGUAGAGGUGAAAUUCGUAGAUAUUGGGAAGAACACCGGUGGCGAAGGCGGCGACCUGGUCCUUGACUGACGCUGAGGCGCGAAAGCGUGGGGAGCAAACAGG
rnacentral:rRNA from 1 species